rnacentral:rRNA from 1 species
AAUAGAUACCCGGGUAGUCCUUACUGUAAACUAUGUAUACUUGGUGUAACUGAACUCAACCUCAGUUGUGCCGUAGCUAACGCGAUAAGUAUACCGCCUGGGGAGUACGCUCGCAAGGGUGAAACUCAAAAGAAUUGACGGGGACCCGCACAAGCAGUGGAGCAUGUGGUUUAAUUCGAUGCAACGCGAAGAACCUUACCCAGGCUUGACAUGCAGAGGACAGCGCUAGAGAUAGCGUUUCCCGUAAGGGUCUCUGCACAGGUGCUGCAUGGCUGUCGUCAGCUCGUGCCGUGAGGUGUUGGGUUAAGUCCCGCAACGAGCGCAACCCUUAUCAUUAGUUGCCAACACGUGAAGGUAGGAACUCUAAUGAGACUGCCCGGGUUAACCGGAGGAAGGCGAGGAUGACGUCAAGUCCGCAUGGCCCUUAUGUCUGGGGCUACACACGUGCUACAAUGGUCGGUACAGAGGGCAGCCAAACCGCGAGGUGGAGCAAAUCCCAUAAAGCCGGCCCAGUUCAGAUUG